AGGACGAACGCUGGCGGCGUGCCUAACACAUGCAAGUCGAACGGGGCCCGCAAGGGUUCAGUGGCGAACGGGUGCGUAACACGUGAAGAAUUUGUCCAACGGCGGGGGAUAGCCGGCCCAACGGCCGGGUAAUACCGCGUACGACCCUCGAGGGGCAUCCCUUGAAGGUGAAAGCCGCAAGGCGCCGAUGGAGAACUUCGCGGCCUAUCAGCUAGUUGGUGAGGUCAUGGCUCACCAAGGCGACGACGGUAGCUGGUCCGAGAGGAUGACCAGCCACAUUGGGACUGAGACACGGCCCAGACUCCUACGGGAGGCAGCAGUGGGGAAUAUUGCGCAAGUGGGCGAAAGCCUGACGCAGCGACGCCGCGUGUGGGAUGGACGGCCUUCGGUUGUAAACCACGUGUCGCGAGGACGAAGAUCUGACGUACCUCGAAAGGAAGCGACCGCUAACGUCUGUGACCAGCCGAGCCCGC
rnacentral:rRNA from 1 species